GGAGCCUGACUGGAGGCAGGUUACUGGGGAUGUAACUUGGAAGGAUGUAUUUUUGUUCCUAUCUUCCUUCUCUGUUUUCUGGCUGCUAUGAAGGGUCAGGUAUUUUGUCCCAGUGACUGGAAAGUGACUCAUAACUGACCCUUCACCUCUGCAGCCACUGGCCUGGGACAGUCAGGACAUGGACAAUAACUGGCAGCUGCCUCAACCACACCCUCUUCCUUCCACCUUGAAAUCCCUGCAGGUGCUGGAAUCAGUGGGGCAAGUCAAGCACAUUGCAGCCUGUGAUUCAGGCAGAAAUGGUCCUGGCAGGCAGUUGUAUAAGGCAAACUUCUGGUCAACCCUUGGAGGAAGUGGAAGAAUUCAGGACCCACAUAACAUCAAGGCUAAACUAAACUUUGCCUCUGUUACAAGAAAGACCAGCUUAAACAGGAAAUGGAUGUUGAGGCAACUUAAAAUUACAGAGACUCACUAAAGGAGGUUGAUUUUACUAGUUUCUCCAUCUUUUGGUAUGUUUGAGAUGUUUAUAUUAAAUUUUUGCUAACUAUAUCAUGACACCUCACUCAAAAGGGACAGAGUGUUCACCAUCUGACCUACUACUUAGCCACUGGAUCUCAAAGUUCAUUUUUGGAUCUUUUAACUCUAAAACUUAUCACACACGAACUUUGUAGUGUGAGAUCACAGCUGUGUGGUGGGUGCUGGGCUGCUCCAUCCAUGUCUCUCCGGAGGAUAUAGAGACUAUUUACCAACUUCCCAGAGGACUGCCUGCCCACAUCUCAAAGCUGAAUCCUCCUAGGAGCUCCCUCUGGCCAAGGGGCAGAUAUUGGCCCCUCCCCAGGGCAAGUUCACAUCCAUUUUCAAGUCCAAGUUGAGAUAAAGUCCUCCUUUGUUAACAUACAAGAUGUGAUCAAAA